rnacentral:rRNA from 1 species
UACGUAGGGUGCGAGCGUUAAUCGGAAUUACUGGGCGUAAAGCGUGCGCAGGCGGUAAGUUAAGUCUGAUGUGAAAGCCCCGGGCUCAACCUGGGAAUUGCAUUGGAUACUGGCAGGCUAGAGUGCGGUAGAGGAUGGCGGAAUUCCCGGUGUAGCAGUGAAAUGCGUAGAGAUCGGGAGGAACAUCUGUGGCGAAGGCGGCCAUCUGGACCAGCACUGACACUGAGGCACGAAAGCGUGGGGAGCAAACAGG